GAUGAACGCUGGCGGCGUGCCUAAUACAUGCAAGUCGAGCGAACAGACGAGGAGCUUGCUCCUCCGACGUUAGCGGCGGACGGGUGAGUAACACGUGGAUAACCUACCUAUAAGACUGGGAUAACUUCGGGAAACCGGAGCUAAUACCGGAUAAUAUAUUGAACCGCAUGGUUCAAUAGUGAAAGACGGCUUUGCUGUCACUUAUAGAUGGAUCCGCGCCGCAUUAGCUAGUUGGUAAGGUAACGGCUUACCAAGGCAACGAUGCGUAGCCGACCUGAGAGGGUGAUCGGCCACACUGGAACUGAGACACGGUCCAGACUCCUACGGGAGGCAGCAGUAGGGAAUCUUCCGCAAUGGGCGAAAGCCUGACGGAGCAACGCCGCGUGAGUGAUGAAGGUCUUCGGAUCGUAAAACUCUGUUAUUAGGGAAGAACAAAUGUGUAAGUAACUGUGCACGUCUUGACGGUACCUAAUCAGAAAGCCACGGCUAACUACGUG
rnacentral:rRNA from 1 species